rnacentral:lncRNA from 1 species
AAGGGAGGAUUUUCCCAAGAAAAGCUUUAUUCUAAUCAUAUACUUGGUAAGGUGAAUUUGGGAAGAUAUGGCUUCUAUUUUACCAAUGUCAGCUUUUAUUAAGAUGUUGUGUGUUAGACAUAGUGAAAAAAUUUUAAUUUAGUCCUUGUCUUUGGGGAGCUGGGAAAGCAGUGUGGUAAAGAGGGAAAGGUGACCUUGGUAGUCCACAUACCUGGCCUUAAAUGCCAACUUUAGAAUUAUCCAGACAUCUCAACCUCAGUUUCACCAGGUUGGUGGAAGACCUAUCAAGCCUCAGGAAUGCUCAAGAAGUAGUCUUUGUCUCGUUAGAAAUGAUACUUAUUUGUCUAGUUAUAAAUGUGGAUAGUUUUGUAGUUUAAAAGAUUUACUUAGGAAUGUGUGAGGAAAGGUAAACUUGUUCUACAUAGAGCAAGACACGUCACAACU